UUGCUCUGGCGAGCAUGACCGCACCACCAUACCAUCCUUCGUCAUGAAACCUAAGUCAUGGGAACGUGACAUUCCUCUUUCUCUCCCGAAGCAGUGGCACCAUUAUUGUUCAAAGAUUUUUCCCGGAGAGCUCUCGUUAUUCCCAGCUAAGAAAUACCUCGGGGGAAAUUUCCCUAGUUUUCCGGCAAAGACCCGUAAGUUGCAGGCGUCUUCCGGCUAUUUUCCAGCCACGGUGGAGACCUAAAAUGGUACGAUUAUUAUCGAUGACUUCGCUAUUCUAGUUCGAACGGGUUCGACUUAAUGACGUGAUCUGUGAGUG